rnacentral:sRNA from 1 species
GCUGGGAACAGCGGCAUGUGCCUGCCAUUCAGCUAUUCAGGAGGCUAAGGCAGGAGGAUCACUUGAGCCCAGGAGUUUGAGGUCAGCCUGGGCAACCUAAUGAGAUCCUGUCUCAA